rnacentral:rRNA from 1 species
CAAUAGCGUAUAUUAAAGUUGUUGCAGUUAAAAAGCUCGUAGUUGAAUUUCUGGUGGGCGCGCCGGCCUUCCAAGUGUUGUACUGGGCGCAGUCCGCCAUCCUUGUGGAGAGGGCUCGCAUUGAGUUGCGUGUCGGAUCUGCAUCAUUUACUGUGAAAAAAUUAGAGUGUUUAAAGCAGGCUGUCGCUUGAAUACAUUAGCAUGGAAUAAUAAGAUAGGACUUCGGUCUAUUUUGUUGGUUGCGAACCGAGGUAAUGAUUAAUAGGGAUAGUUGGGGGUAUUCAUAUUUAAUUGUCAGAGGUGAAAUUCUUGGAUUUAUGAAAGAUGAACAACUGCGAAAGCAUUUACCAAGGAUGUUUUCAUUAA